rnacentral:rRNA from 1 species
AUUGAACGCUGGCGGCAUGCUUUACACAUGCAAGUCGAACGGUAACAGGCCGCAAGGUGCUGACGAGUGGCGAACGGGUGAGUAAUGCAUCGGAACGUGCCCAGUCGUGGGGGAUAACUACUCGAAAGAGUAGCUAAUACCGCAUACGAUCUAUGGAUGAAAGCGGGGGACCGUAAGGCCUCGCGCGAUUGGAGCGGCCGAUGUCAGAUUAGGUAGUUGGUGGGGUAAAGGCUCACCAAGCCAACGAUCUGUAGCUGGUCUGAGAGGACGACCAGCCACACUGGGACUGAGACACGGCCCAGACUCCUACGGGAGGCAGCAGUGGGGAAUUUUGGACAAUGGGCGCAAGCCUGAUCCAGCAAUGACGCGUGCAGGAAGAAGGCCUUCGGGUUGUAAACUGCUUUUGUACGGAACGAAACGGCUCUGGUUAAUACCCGGGGCUAAUGACGGUACCGUAAGAAUAAGCACCGGCUAACUACGUG